GCCCAGAUGGCGGAAUUGGUAUACGCGCAGGUCUCAGAAGCCUGUGCCAGCAAUGGCUUGAGAGUUCGAGUCUCUCUCUGGGCA
rnacentral:tRNA from 1 species